UGUCUGUCUGUCAUUCAUUGCCCUCGCCCACGCCGUAGGCGUAUAGGCGAGGGUACUGCGCUCGUGCUGUCAGUGUGUGUGUGUGUGUGUGUGUGUGUGUGUGUUAGCAAAAUUUUCAAUCAUGGAUGAUUUUUUGGCUGAUGCUACUUUUUAGUCAAACUCUUCAGAGCAUUUCUUUUGCCAAUUAGGUGGCAAAAGUUGGCAGCAUUUAAGAACAGAAAAAGUUUACUAGUAACUUUUGCAUAGUUGAAGCUAUGGUACCUUUGAAGGCAACAACAGGUAAAGGAAAACAUGGAGAGCAAAAAGUAUGUGUGGAAUUGCUUGACUUUCCUUCGUUUGUGAGAUAUGACAGCUUAAGUGUGACUCACCA